AUCUGCGAUAAGCGUCGGUAAGGUGAUAUGAACCGUUAUAACCGGCGAUUUCCGAAUGGGGAAACCCAGUGUGAUUCGUCACACUAUCAUUAACUGAAUCCAUAGGUUAAUGAGGCGAACCGGGGGAACUGAAACAUCUAAGUACCCCGAGGAAAAGAAAUCAACCGAGAUUCCCCCAGUAGCGGCGAGCGAACGGGGAGCAGCCCAGAGCCUGAAUCAGUGUGUGUGUUAGUGGAAGCGUCUGGAAAGGCGCGCGAUACAGGGUGACAGCCCCGUACACAAAAAUGCACAUACUGUGAGCUCGAUGAGUAGGGCGGGACACGUGGUAUCCUGUCUGAAUAUGGGGGGACCAUCCUCCAAGGCUAAAUACUCCUGACUGACCGAUAGUGAACCAGUACCGUGAGGGAAAGGCGAAAAGAACCCCGGCGAGGGGAGUGAAAAAGAACCUGAAACCGUGUACGUACAAGCAGUGGGAGCACGCUUAGGCGUGUGACUGCGUACCUUUUGUAUAAUGGGUCAGCGACUUAUAUUCUGUAGCAAGGUUAACCGAAUAGGGGAGCCGAAGGGAAACCGAGUCUUAACUGGGCGUUAAGUUGCAGGGUAUAGACCCGAAACCCGGUGAUCUAGCCAUGGGCAGGUUGAAGGUUGGGUAACACUAACUGGAGGACCGAACCGACUAAUGUUGAAAAAUUAGCGGAUGACUUGUGGCUGGGGGUGAAAGGCCAAUCAAACCGGGAGAUAGCUGGUUCUCCCCGAAAGCUAUUUAGGUAGCGCCUCGUGAAUUCAUCUCCGGGGGUAGAGCACUGUUUCGGCAAGGGGGUCAUCCCGACUUACCAACCCGAUGCAAACUGCGAAUACCGGAGAAUGUUAUCACGGGAGACACACGGCGGGUGCUAACGUCCGUCGUGAAGAGGGAAACAACCCAGACCGCCAGCUAAGGUCCCAAAGUCAUGGUUAAGUGGGAAACGAUGUGGGAAGGCCCAGACAGCCAGGAUGUUGGCUUAGAAGCAGCCAUCAUUUAAAGAAAGCGUAAUAGCUCACUGGUCGAGUCGGCCUGCGCGGAAGAUGUAACGGGGCUAAACCAUGCACCGAAGCUGCGGCAGCGACGCUUAUGCGUUGUUGGGUAGGGGAGCGUUCUGUAAGCCUGUGAAGGUGUGCUGUGAGGCAUGCUGGAGGUAUCAGAAGUGCGAAUGCUGACAUAAGUAACGAUAAAGCGGGUGAAAAGCCCGCUCGCCGGAAGACCAAGGGUUCCUGUCCAACGUUAAUCGGGGCAGGGUGAGUCGACCCCUAAGGCGAGGCCGAAAGGCGUAGUCGAUGGGAAACAGGUUAAUAUUCCUGUACUUGGUGUUACUGCGAAGGGGGGACGGAGAAGGCUAUGUUGGCCGGGCGACGGUUGUCCCGGUUUAAGCGUGUAGGCUGGUUUUCCAGGCAAAUCCGGAAAAUCAAGGCUGAGGCGUGAUGACGAGGCACUACGGUGCUGAAGCAACAAAUGCCCUGCUUCCAGGAAAAGCCUCUAAGCAUCAGGUAACAUCAAAUCGUACCCCAAACCGACACAGGUGGUCAGGUAGAGAAUACCAAGGCGCUUGAGAGAACUCGGGUGAAGGAACUAGGCAAAAUGGUGCCGUAACUUCGGGAGAAGGCACGCUGAUAUGUAGGUGAAGUCCCUCGCGGAUGGAGCUGAAAUCAGUCGAAGAUACCAGCUGGCUGCAACUGUUUAUUAAAAACACAGCACUGUGCAAACACGAAAGUGGACGUAUACGGUGUGACGCCUGCCCGGUGCCGGAAGGUUAAUUGAUGGGGUCAGCGCAAGCGAAGCUCUUGAUCGAAGCCCCGGUAAACGGCGGCCGUAACUAUAACGGUCCUAAGGUAGCGAAAUUCCUUGUCGGGUAAGUUCCGACCUGCACGAAUGGCGUAAUGAUGGCCAGGCUGUCUCCACCCGAGACUCAGUGAAAUUGAACUCGCUGUGAAGAUGCAGUGUACCCGCGGCAAGACGGAAAGACCCCGUGAACCUUUACUAUAGCUUGACACUGAACAUUGAGCCUUGAUG
rnacentral:rRNA from 1 species